UCAGCCAUGUAUUUUCAGUUUUCCACCAACACCCAUCUUCAUCUCUACAUCCACAUGAAUCAUGAUUCCUCUCCUUUCUGUUUCUCCACCUCCGGCGGCGACAAUCACAGUCCAUCGACGACUGAUCCGAUUGUUGACCGGUGUUAGUCGUCAAUCUCCUGCGGGAAACUUCACCGGAGAUUCAGGAUUGCGCAACGUAGAGAGGAGGAGACAGAGUGUGAUGACUUCUGGGCGUUCCUUCACUCCGGCGAUGGUGGUGAUCAAGGACGGCGACUGUACUGUUUGCGGUGUUGCCUCUUAGAUGACGACGGCUGUUAAACGGACCAUGAAACUAAGUCAGUCCAACGAUUCGUGGUUGUAGAGGGGAAAUGAGUGGUAUUCCAAUUCUCCGGAAUGACCUGGCCUCAGGCAAAUCAGAUGAUGGCGGCAGGUCCUUGGAUCCUGAUCUGUCAAUCAGGUGUUACAUCGGCGGCAUGAUAAGGGAUCCGAACGUAAAUCGGCAACAAGGAAGGUGAAAAUGAGCUUUUGGUCGUAUAGUAUCUUUUUUCGGAGAUGUUUGAUGUCUGGAUCCUUUUGGACUGUGAUUGUCACCGAUGGACUGUGAUUGUCUUUUGCGAUGG